UCGACGCACCCCCACGAAACCGAAGAAGAACCAACAGUCAAUAAAAUUAACAGAGACGUAAGCCCAAAACUUUGAGAGAAAAAAAAAACCCCAAUAAAAUCAACAAGAAGCAGCUAGCACUCUCUCCCCAGCUACAAAACAAUUCAGCUAGAAUCAUUCAUGGCCAUGGCCAUGGCAUCGUCUUCCUCCCCUCAUCACGGCUUUCUCACCGGAAGCAGUCCUCUCUUCCCUCUUAUUAACAAGAAUCAAUCGACGUCGAAGCCUCACCGAGGUUUUACAGUUCCUUACUGCCGUUCAUCCAUGGAUAAAAAAGAACCAGAGCCAAACAAUACAAAUUUGUCGGAACGAUCUUAUGAACCAUCUGACAUAAGAGUUUCACGUCGAUUAAUAGAAUAUUUUGGGAUCCCAACUCGUUGAUGAUCCGUCAAUGUGAGCCCGACCAGUGAUGACUAUGGUUUAUAUCAGCCUGCAGGUAAUUUGAAGGGGGAGCAAAACUGUUGAAAAGACUUCAUGCGCGCCACAUGAUUUAUUGUUAACGUAUUUUCUAAUGGUCAGCUUAAUUAGUGUACCGUUUUGAACUAUUUAAUUAAAUUUUGGCCUUGUAGAAAGAAAGAAACCCGAUGUUAUAAUAUAUAUCCAUCUCAGCUGUUUGUAAUCUUCAUUGAUUUAUUAGUGGAAUUAUGAACUGGUUAUUAUACUC